UGGGGAAUAUUGGACAAUGGGGGCAACCCUGAUCCAGCAAUGCCGCGUGAGUGACGAAGGUCUUCGGAUUGUAAAGCUCUUUUGGCGGGGACGAUAAUGACGGUACCCGCAGAAUAAGCUCCGGCUAACUCCGUGCCAGCAGCCGCGGUAAUACGGAGGGAGCUAGCGUUGUUCGGAAUUACUGGGCGUAAAGCGUACGUAGGCGGUGACUCAAGUCAGAGGUGAAAUCCCGGAGCUCAACUUCGGAACUGCCUUUGAUACUGGCAAUCUAGAGUCCGGAAGAGGUUAGUGGAAUUCCCAGUGUAGAGGUGAAAUUCGUAGAUAUUGGGAAGAACACCAGUGGCGAAGGCGGCUAACUGGUCCGGUACUGACGCUGAGGUGCGAAAGCGUGGGGAGCAAACAGGAUUAGAUACCCCAGUAGUCCCUGAGCGGGCUGGCAAGGCGCAU
rnacentral:rRNA from 1 species